rnacentral:rRNA from 1 species
UCCGGUCGAUCCUGCCGGAAUCCGACGCUCUCCCCAAGGACACAAGCCAUGCAUGCCCGCACACCCGGGAAGCGGCGGACGGCUCAGGACAACGGUUGCACCCCCCGCGGCGGUCCCUGCUAGCCGGACACCGCUGGCAACCCGGCGCCAAGACGUGCGCGCAAGUGCGGACGCCCGCGGGCGAGCAGCGUGACGCAGCGACGGCCCGCCCGGGCUUCCGGGGCAUCACCCGGUCGGCGCGGUCGCGGCGCGCCGAGGGCCCGACGCCUGGCGGAGAAUCAGGGUUCGACUCCGGAGAGCA